rnacentral:rRNA from 1 species
UACGUAGGAGACGAGCGUUGUCCGGAAUUACUGGGCGUAAAGCGCGUGUAGGCGGAUGGGCAAGUCUGCUGUGAAAGCUCCUGGCUUAACCGGGAGUGGUCGGUGGAAACUGCCAAUCUGGAGGACGGUAGAGGUAGGUAGAAUUCCCGGUGUAGUGGUGAAAUGCGUAGAGGAUCGGGAGGAAUACCUGUGGCGAAGCGGCCUACUGGGCCGGACCUGACGCUGAGACGCGAAGGCGUGGGGAGGCGAACGG